GACGUAGGGGGCAAGCGUUGUUCGGAAUUAUUGGGCGUAAAGAGCUCGUAGGCGGUCUGUCGCGUCGGCUGUGAAAACCCGGAGCUCAACUCCGGGCCUGCAGUCGAUACGGGCAGACUGGAGUUCGGCAGGGGAGACUGGAAUUCCUGGUGUAGCGGUGAAAUGCGCAGAUAUCAGGAGGAACACCGGUGGCGAAGGCGGGUCUCUGGGCCGAUAUUGACGCUGAGGAGCGAAAGCGUGGGGAGCGAACAGG
rnacentral:rRNA from 1 species